rnacentral:lncRNA from 1 species
AAAUUUGCAUUUCUAUUCACUUGUUUUCAUAGUUCAGUGAAAUACUAUUAACUGUACUACAUUUAUUUAUUUCAGAGAGAUAAAUAGACAGUAGAAUGACAUGAUAAAUGAUUAAUGAUAUACCACAUACAAUUAUUAGUUAUUUUGAUAAGUAUGAAUAUUUUUUAUAAUAACUAAAACAAAAUGAAGGCUUAAUUCCUUUUCCUUUCCCUGAAAUUUUCAGUUGAGCCUUUGGACCCUCAUCUUGAC